UUAAUCUAUUCUUUACCGAGUGUCAUGUACUGCCUAGGUAUCAGUGAUAUAACUGUUAUCCUGCUAUCAAAUCUACUGAUAAGUGGCUCAUUUAACUUAUAUGCACUCAUCACAAUGCAAGAAAUCCUCUGACUGCUCCUACCAUCAUGACCCCUAGCCAUGAUAUGACUUGUCUCCACACUAGCAGAAACUAAUCGAGUCCCU
rnacentral:lncRNA from 1 species